rnacentral:rRNA from 1 species
GAGAUGGGCAUGCGUGUCAUUAGCUAGUUGGCGGGGUAACGGCCCACCAAGGCGACGAUGACUAGGGGAUCUGAGAGGAUGGCCCCCCACACUGGUACUGAGACACGGACCAGACUCCUACGGGAGGCAGCAGUAAGGAAUAUUGGUCAAUGGAGGCAACUCUGAACCAGCCAUGCCGCGUGCAGGAAGACUGCCCUAUGGGUUGUAAACUGCUUUUAUCCGGGAAUAAACCUACUUACGUGUAAGUAGCUGAAUGUACCGGAAGAAUAAGGAUCGGCUAACUCCGUGCCAGCAGCCGCGGUAAUACGGAGGAUCCAAGCGUUAUCCGGAUUUAUUGGGUUUAAAGGGUGCGUAGGCGGCCUGUUAAGUCAGGGGUGAAAGACGGUAGCUCAACUAUCGCAGUGCCCUUGAUACUGAUGGGCUUGAAUGGACUAGAGGUAGGCGGAAUGAGACAAGUAGCGGUGAAAUGCAUAGAUAUGUCUCAGAACACCGAUUGCGAAGGCAGCUUACUAUGGUCUUAUUGACGCUGAGGCACGAAAGCGUGGGGAUCAAACAGGAUUAGAUACCCUGGUAGUCCACGCCCUAAACGAUGAACACUCGCUGUUGGCGAUACACAGUCAGCGGCUAAGCGAAAGCGUUAAGUGUUCCACCUGGGGAGUACGCCCGCAAGGGUGAAACUCAAAGGAAUUGACGGGGGCCCGCACAAGCGGAGGAGCAUGUGGUUUAAUUCGAUGAUACGCGAGGAACCUUACCCGGGCUUGAAAGUUAGUGAAUGAUCUAGAGAUAGAUCAGUCCGCAAGGACACGAAACUAGGUGCUGCAUGGCUGUCGUCAGCUCGUGCCGUGAGGUGUUGGGUUAAGUCCCGCAACGAGCGCAACCCCUAUGUUUAGUUGCCAGCACGUUAUGGUGGGGACUCUAAACAGACUGCCUGUGCAAACAGAGAGGAAGGAGGGGACGACGUCAAGUCAUCAUGGCCCUUACGUCCGGGGCUACACACGUGCUACAAUGGAUGGUACAGAGGGCAGCUACAUAGCAAUAUGAUGCGAAUCUCACAAAGCCAUUCACAGUUCGGAUUGGGGUCUGCAACUCGACCCCAUGAAGUUGGAUUCGCUAGUAAUCGCGUAUCAGCAAUGACGCGGUGAAUACGUUCCCGGGCCUUGUACACACCGCCCGUCAAGCCAUGGAAGCUGGGGGUACCUAAAGUAUGUAACCGCAAGGAGCGUC